AGAGCGAACGCCGGCGGCAGGCCUAACACAUGCAAGUCGAGCGCCCGUAGCAAUACGGGAGCGGCAGACGGGAUAGUAACACGUGGGAACGCGCCCUUCGGUUCGGAAUAACUCAGGGAAACUUGAGCUAAUACCGGAUACGCCCUUACGGGGAAAGAUUUAUUGCCGAAGGAACGGCCCGCGUCCGAUUAGCUAGUUGGUGAGGUAAUGGCUCACCAAGGCGACGAUCGGUAGCUGGUCUGAGAGGAUGACCAGCAUCACUGGGACUGAGACACGGCCUAGACUCCUACGGGAGGCAGCAGUGGGGAAUAUUGGACAAUGGGCGCAAGCCUGAUCCAGCCAUGCCGCGUGGAUGAUGAAGGCCUUAGGGUUGUAAAGUCCUUUUAACGGGGAGAUAAUGACGGUACCCGUAGAAUAAGCCCCGGCUAACUUCGCGCCAGCAGCCGC
rnacentral:rRNA from 1 species